rnacentral:rRNA from 1 species
GCCCUUUUCCGGUUGAUCCUGCCGGAGGCCAUUGCUAUUGGAGUUCGAUUUAGCCAUGCUAGUCGUACGGGUUCAGACCCGUGGCGAAUAGCUCAGUAACACGUGGCCAAACUACCCUGUGGACGGGGAUACUCUCGGGAAACUGAGGCUAAUCCUCGAUAGGGCUUCCAUCCUGGAAUGGAGAAAGCCCGAAACGCUCCGGCGCCACAGGAUGUGGCUGCGGCCGAUUAGGUAGACGGUGGGGUAGCGGCCCACCGUGCCAGUAAUCGGUACGGGUGAUGAAAGUCAGAGCCCGGAGACGGUAUCUGAGACAAGAUACCGGGCCCUACGGGGCGCAGCAGGCGCGAAACCUUUACACUGCACGACAGUGCGAUAGGGGAACUCCAAGUGCGAGGGCAUACAGUCCUCGCUUUUCUGGACCGUAAGGAGGUCCAGGAACAAGGGCUGGGCAAGACCGGUGCCAGCCGCCGCGGUAAUACCGGCAGCCCAAGUGAUGGCCAAUAUUAUUGGGCCUAAAGCGUCC